rnacentral:rRNA from 1 species
GGGGGGGGCGGGGGGUGGGGGGCAGAGGGGGGGGGCGCGGGGGGGCGCAGGGGGGGCUGGGUCUUACGGGUGGCGAGUGGAGGACGGGUGCGGGAUACGGCGGGGUCUACUUUUUCGUGUGGGAUGACGUAGGGGCCCGUACGCUAAUACCGCAUACGCGCUACGGGUGCACGCCUGGGAUCUUCGGACGUUGCGCGCUCGCGUGCUCAGAUGUUGAGUUGGCUAGUUGGCGAGGUAAAGGCCAACCAAGGCGACUAUCCGUAGCUGGUCUGAGAGGAUGAUCAGCCACACUGGAACGGAGACACGGUCCAGACUCCUACGGGAGGCAGCAGGGGUGAAUAUUGGACAAUGGGCGCAAGCCUGAUCCAGCCAUACCGCGUGGGUGAAGAAGGCCUUCGGGUUGUAAAGCCCUUUUGUUGGGAAAGAAAAUCAGCAGGUUAAUACCCCGCUGUUCUGACGGUACCCAAAGAAGAAGCACCGGCUAACUUCGUG